GACGAACGCUGGCGGCGUGCUUAACACAUGCAAGUCGAACGGUGAAGGGACCUGUUUUUGCUGGUUCUGGAUGAGUGGCGAACGGGUGAGUAACACGUUAGUAACCUGCCCCCUUCUUCUGGAUAACCGCAUGAAAGUGUGGCUAAUACGGGAUAUUCUGCGCCUGCUGCAUGGUGGGUGUGUGAAAGGUAUUGUUUCGGUGGGGGGUGGGCUCGCGGCCUAUCAGGUUGUUGGGGGGGUGAUGGCCUACCAAGGCGGUGACGGGUAGCCGGCAUGGGAGGGUGGACGGGCAGACCGGGGAUGAGAAACGGCCAAGACGGCUACGGGAGGCAGCCGUGGGGAAUACUGGACGAUGGGGGGAAGCAUGAUGCAGCGACGCCGCGUGAGGGAUGGAGGCCUUCGGGUUGUAAAACUCUUUCGUCAGUGAAGCAGGCCUGUCUUUUCUGUGGGUGGGUUGACGGUAGCUGGAGAAGAAGCGCCGGCUAACUACGUG
rnacentral:rRNA from 1 species